rnacentral:piRNA from 1 species
UGGACCAUUUCUGGGCUUUUCUACACCC